rnacentral:lncRNA from 1 species
GACAGUCGCGUGGAGGAGGCUUUUCCAGGCACAGCCUUUCUCAUGGCUCAACUCCGAAUGGAUUGGAUUGCGAGUCUGCACGUGAGAAAACCGUUUGGCUUGGCUUGGACCCCUGCCGCCCCCCACCUCCUCCACACACACCCAGUCCAGGGGUCCCCUUUAUCACCCUUUGCUUGCAACUCCAAAAGAAGUUGCCCACCUCCUGAGUCACAACACAAGGUCGAAUAAUUCCUCUAGAUGAAAGAUCAGUUUCAUUUCAAAACGAGAAUAGGUUCCUUUUUUUAUUUUCUCCACAUGGUACAAAAUAAACAGAAUUUGCUUUAAAAAAAAUCA